GGCCGAGAGACCGCAUCGUCGGCUCGGAGGCUGAGGGGCUGCCGCAGCCGGGAGCCCCCCUCGCCUCGCUCCUCGCUCCGCUUGGUGUCAUGUGAUUCUCUGAGGGAGCAGCUGCGUGAGUGGAGAUGCUUUCAGUGGUGGAGAAUGGACUGGACCCCCAGGCUGCCAUCCCGGUCAUCAAGAAGAAGCUGGUGGGAUCCGUGAAAGCCUUGCAAAAGCAGUACGUGUCCCUGGACAUGGUGGUCACUAGUGAAGACGGAGAUGCCAACACCAUGUGCAGCGCCCUGGAGGCCGUAUUUAUCCAUGGCCUGCACACCAAGCACAUCCGAGCUGAGGCCGGAGGAAAAAGGAAGAAAAGUGCCCACCAGAAGCCUCUGCCCCAGCCUGUCUUCUGGCCCCUCCUGAAAGCUGUCACCCCCAAACACAUCAUCUCAGAGUUGGAGCACCUGACGUUUGUCAACAUGGAUGUGGGCCGCUGCCGGGCAUGGCUGCGGCUGGCCCUGAACAAUGGCCUGAUGGAGUGCUACCUGAAGCUGCUGCUGCAGGAGCAGGCCCGCUUGCAACUACAGCGGAAGGAAUCUCUGGAUUCCAUUUCCCAUUCUUCAGGCUCUGAAGACAUCGAAGUCCAUCACUCGGGCCAUAAGAUACGGAGGAACCAGAAGCCGACUGCCUCCUCCCUCAGCCUGGACACGGCCAGUUCAUCCCAGCUGUCCUGCAGCCUAAACUCUGAUAGCUGCUUACUCCAAGAGAAUGGCUCCAAGAGUCCAGACCAUUGCGAGGAGCCCAUGUCCUAUGACUCAGACCUGGGCACAGCAAAUGCUGAGGACUCAGACCAGUCUCUGCAAGAAAAAACAAGAGCUGGAUCUCAGAGGAUGACUUCUACCGGCCUUCCCGGGAGCAACCCCUGAAGAGUGCUUCAGACCACCCAAUAGCUUCUUACAGGGGGACUCCAGAGUCAAGGCCUGGUCUCCACAGGCAUUUUUCUCAAGAACCAAGAAAAAACUGCUCCCUGGGGGCGUUAGACCAAGCGUGUGUACCUUCCCCAGGAAGAAGGCAAGCCCAGGCAGCCCCAUCCCAGGGGCAUAAGAGUUUCCAGGUGGUACACCGGAGGCAGAUGGGACUGUCCAACCCAUUCCAGGGUCUCAUGAAGCUGGGCACCGUGGAGCGGCAGGGGGCAAUGGGCAUCUGGAAGGAGCUCUUCUGCGAGCUCUCCCCACUGGAGUUCCGCCUCUACCUGAGCAACGAGGAGCACACCUGUGUGGAGAACUGCUCCCUGCUUCGCUGUGAGUCUGUGGGGCCAGCCCACAGUGACGGGCGCUUUGAGCUGGUCUUCUCUGGCAAGAAGCUGGCCCUGCGCGCCUCCUCCCAGGACGAAGCUGAGGACUGGCUGGACCUGGUGCGGGAGGCCCUGCAGAAGGUCCGGCCUCAGCAGGAGGAUGAGUGGGUGAACGUGCAGUACUCAGACCAGCCUGAGGAACCCCCCGAGGCGCCCCAGGGCUGCCUCUCUCCCUCAGACCUGCUCUCGGAGCCCGCGGCCCUCCAGGGCACACAGUCUGACUGGUCGUCCGCCCAGGUUCCAGAGCUAGAUGCCAUCAAGGAGUCCCUGCUGUACUUGUACAUGGACAGGACCUGGAUGCCCUAUAUAUUUUCUCUGCCCUUGGAGGCUCUGAAAUGUUUCCGCAUCAGGAACAAUGAGAAGAUGCUGAGUGACAGCCACGGCGUGGAGACCAUCCGGGACAUCCUGCCAGACACCAGCCUUGGGGGCCCAUCCUUCUUCAAAAUCAUCACGGCCAAGGCUGUCCUGAAGCUGCAGGCCGGAAACGCCGAGGAAGCCGCCCUGUGGAGGGAUCUGGUCCGCAAAGUCCUGGCAUCCUACUUGGAGACAGCCGAGGAGGCGGUGACCCUGGGCGGGAGCCUGGAUGAAAACUGUCAGGAGGUGCUGAAAUUUGCCACCCGGGAGAAUGGCUUCCUGCUGCAGUACCUGGUGGCCAUCCCCAUGGAGAAAGGCCUUGACUCCCAAGGCUGCUUCUGCGCAGGCUGCUCCCGGCAGAUCGGCUUCUCCUUUGUACGACCCAAGCUCUGUGCCUUCUCUGGCCUCUAUUACUGUGACAUCUGCCACCAAGACGAUGCCUCAGUGAUUCCGGCCAGGAUCAUCCACAACUGGGACCUCACCAAGCGCCCGAUCUGCAGGCAGGCCCUGAAGUUUCUGACGCAGAUCCGGGCCCAGCCCCUCAUCAACCUGCAGAUGGUGAACGCGUCUCUGUACGAGCAUGUGGAGCGGAUGCACCUCAUUGGGAGGAGCCGGGAGCAGCUGAAGCUCCUGGGGGAUUACCUGGGCCUGUGCCGGAGUGGCGCCCUGAAGGAGCUCAGCAAGAGGCUCAACCACCGGAAUUAUCUCUUGGAGUCUCCGCAUAGGUUCCGUGUUGCUGACCUCCGGCAGAUCGCAGAUGAGGUAUAUGAAGGAUUCCUCAAGGCCCUGAUUGAAUUUGCCUCCCAGCAUGUCUACCACUGCGACCUGUGCACCCAGCGCAGCUUCAUCUGCCAGAUCUGCCAGCACCACGACAUCAUCUUCCCCUCUGAGUUUGACACCACAGUCAGGUGUGCCAAGUGCAAGACCGUCUUCCACCAGAGCUGCCAGGCUGUGGUGAAGAAGGGCUGCCCCCGCUGUGCUCGCUGACGCAAGUACCAGCAACAGAACGUUUUCGCCUGAUGCCCCUCUGCUGAUCCCACUCUGAAGGCCGGGGGAAAGAAAGCUGAGCUGCAGAGAUAAGGCAGAACUCCCAAGGCCUACCAGCCGCCAAGCAGCAGAGUGGGGCAUCAUACCUGCCUGACCCCACGCAAAGACCAUCACCACUGCCAGCCGCUGCCUGGCUGUGCUGCAGCCCAGCCCCAGUCCGGGAGGAAGUUCUGCCGGGCGCUCUCCGCCGGUGCCUCACUGGUUAUAGUGCUAUACAGGAAACCUGGCAGCGCCGGAGCCGCGCGGUCGAGGAGGGAGCGCGGGACGCCGAGCCCACGCGCGCCUGCCGGGACAAGUGGAGACGAGGCCGGCGAGCGGACGCCCCGAGGUUGGCGAAGGAGCUGUGGCCGGGUCCCCUUCUUAUCCAGCCCGAGACACUGCGCUCCGGUGGGCGUCCCUGCGCUGGGAAUCCCUCUCGGAGUUUUUCCAGGCCCGGCCGGGUUGCUCCGGGAAAGGCCCUGUUGGGGGAGGUGGGCCCGGAGCUGGCAGGUCUACAAUCCGGUUGGAAGGGCUCGCAGUGGGUGAUUCAGGGUGCCAAUGACCUCCCCGCGAACGGGAACGCCCGCACUAGACAACCAGCCCCAGACCGGCAUUCCCAGAGCCGCAGGCGGGAGGGACGCAGGGACUCCGGGACAGCAAAUCCCCGGGGGAGAAGGGAAGGGGGAAGGCGGGACAGGGGAGGCCCACCCUCCUUGGGCUCCGCUAGCGACCAGCCAGCGCCCCUUCAGACGCAGCCUUCCUGGCUCCGGACCCCGGCUUUCUGCUCCGGUCCUCGUCCCAAUGCCCCCCAAGGUCCCCAGCAGAGGCAUUCAGGUUCCUCCUCGCCCCGCCCAGACGCAGCUUCUUUGGGUAUGGGUGACAGCACUCCUGAGCGUCGCUGUCCCUAUUCGCUGCCGUUGCCAGCUCCGAUUCCGCGAAACCUCUCCGGCACCACCUCGGAAGCCCCGCCCAGGGCGAUGGUCCGGGCCUAACCUGCCGGCCCCGCCCACCCGGCCCUUGGGCUCCCUGAGGCCCGCCCAGCAGACUCGAGGAACGCUUGACAAAGUGGCGAAGGAGCCCUACGGGAGUCCCGGAUUGGACCCUGCUCCUUCGGUCCCUCAGCCUCGGCAAGCCGCGGUCUCCUGGCCCUUGGCCUGGGUCACCUUAGGAGGCAGGAGGAGAUGUGGUCAGUGUGGGAGCUUGGAGGGGCCAUGCACUUCCGGAGAAGACCACCGACUCAUGGCUUUGGUGGAGGGGCGCCGGCAGAUUUACGGAGGCCCCCACACCAAGGCCCUUGGACUAAGCGGGGCAGGGACAGCCUCCAGGUAGAGCUGUUCGCCGGGGCGCCUGCAGAGCCCGCAUCCCAACCCUGACCCCGGGGCCGGGGCGCAGGCUCCUGGAGGGAGGCGUCCAGGCGGGACAGGGCCCGGGGAGCGGCAGGAAAUGGGCUGCUCUUCCCACUUGACUGACGGGAAAACUAAGGCACGGUCAACUAUCAAGCAAGCGUGGUGUCGACCUUAGAGCAGGACUGAAGCGAGGCUGAAAUCUUAGAAUCAACCCCACGGAAUGAAGAGGUUGUCCUAAUUCCAGCACUGAGUGUAA
ensembl:lncRNA novel transcript